rnacentral:rRNA from 1 species
UACCAGCACCCCGAGUGGUCGGGACGAUUAUUGGGCCUAAAGCAUCCGUAGCCGGCCUUACAAGUCCUCCGUUAAAUCCAGCUGCUUAACAGAUGGGCUGCGGAGGAUACUAUAAGACUAGGAGGCAGGAGAGGCAAGCGGUACUCAGUGGGUAGGGGUAAAAUCCGUUGAUCCAUUGAAGACCACCAGUGGCGAAGGCGGCUUGCCAGAAUGCGCUCGACGGUGAGGGAUGAAAGCUGGGGGAGCAAACCGA